GCCGAAGUGGCGGAAUGGCAGACGCGCCUGUCUCAAAAACAGGUGAGGGCUCCCUCGUGUGGGUUCGACUCCCACCUUCGGCA
rnacentral:tRNA from 1 species